GAAUUAGGAAAACAAAACAAAUCUCAGGGGAACGAAUUUGUGUAACUAGAAACUAUCUCAAGAGAAUUAUUUAUUGCAUUCUGUGAUACUUGGGAGCAUGUUUCAUACAAUCAGAUUUGUACCUGGAAAUAAUUUGUUGUCGGAAAUAAGAAACCCUCCGCUCAACUGAUGGCUUGGAGGGAGAGAAGAAGAAGUUAUCACAAGCUGCUGUUUUAGUUGUUGGGAUUUGUCCCUUUCUCAAUGCUUUAGUUUGUGCUCGAAGCAGCACUGAAAUGCAUUUUACAUAUUGCAAUCUGCCCAUUUUUAUUUGAAAAGAUUGAAAUGUUUGGGGUGGAAGAGGGUGUUUUGGAAGGGGUGCCUUCCAUACCCCAGACCUCAUCCCUUUAUCCACGCCGUCACCCCUCCAUAUCUUCAUUGUCUCUACUUGUUGAACUCCUAUGCAUCAUGCAAGGCCCACAGAGAAUCACCUCUUCACAGAAGCCUUCCUAAUUGCUGCGAGCAGAUACUGCUGUGUGCCUCCAUUGGCCCACAGAGAGUUUUGCAACAUUUUACCUCUUGUGAGAGUUGUCUAUCGUUGUGUCAUUGUUCUAAUUAGAGAGUCUUCUCUUGGUAGGUAGCCUAUUCCAGCUCUAGAGCAGGGAUUGUAAACUAUAGCCCAGAGGUCAAAUCCAGCCCCCUGCCUGUUUUUAUAUAGCCCUUGGAAUAAGAAUGGUUUUGAUAUAUUUAAUUGGUUGAAAAAAAGUCCAAAGAAGAAUACUAUUUCAUGACAUAAAAUGAAAAUGAUAUAAAAUUCAGCUUUCCUUGUCCAUAAUUAAUUUUUUUUUUUGUCUUUUUGCCAUUUCUUGGGCCACUCCCACAGCAUAGGGGUCAAAUCGGAGCUGUAGCCACCAGCCUACAGCAGGGCCACAGCAACUUGGGAUCCAAGCCGCGUCUGCAACCUACACCAUGGCUCACCGCAACGCCGGAUCCUUAACCCACUAGUGAGGCCAGGGAUUGAACUCACAACCUCAUGGUUCCUAGUCGGAUUCGUUAACCACUGCGCCACAACGGGAACUCCCAUAAUUAAACAGCAGAGCUGAGUAGUUGCAACAAAGACCAUCUGGCCCAAAAAGCCUGGAAUAUUUUCUAUCCGGCCCUUUACAGAAAACAUUUACUGACCUCUGUUCUAGAGCAGGUGUUCUAAAAUUUUAGUGUGUAUCACAGUAACCUGGGGGCCUCGUUAACACAGCCUGUAGGGCCCCAGCCCUAUAAUUUCAAAUAGGAGGUCUGAGGUGGGUCCUGAGGAUUUGAAUUUCUUUCUUUUUUCUUUUCUUUUCUUUUGUCUUUUUAGGGCUACACCCGAGGCAUAUGGAGGCUCCCGGCCUAGGGGUCACAUUGGAGCUAUAACUGCCAGCCUAUGCCACAGCCACGUCAGUGAGGGAUCCAAGCUUUGUCUGCAGCCUACACCAGAGCUCACGGCAACACCGGAUCCUUAACCCACUGAGCCAGGCCAUGGAUCGAACUCACAACCUCAUGGUUCCUAGUCGGAUUUGUUAACCAGUGAGCCACGACGGGAACUCUGGAACCCACACUUUUCAAACCCCUCAAUUAACCUCUCUGAAUCUCAGUUUCUUCAUCCGUAAAAUGGGGCAUGUGAUAACCAGGUUGUUUGAAGUUUCAGUAGAUAAAGUCUGGGAAUGUUCCUGAAACACGUGGUAGGGAUUCAAUGAAUGGGGACUUCUUUCUUUUCCUCCCUCCCUCCUUCCCUUUUGCUAGUCUCUCUCCCUUUCCCUUCUCUGAGAAGGAACAGUAGGUACUUAUUUUUGCACUGCCUCUGAAUUGCAUUCCUUCCUGAGCUUCUUGGGAAUUUUACAGCCGUGUACAGCUCAUGGUGUCCUUCCUCCAACAUGGCGCUUGUCAUGUCACCCAAGCACAGCAGGCUGGGACAGCCCUUCUUUCCUAAUUCACUUGAGUGCAUGCUCUGUACAAGUUUCUGUACUUACUAAGGAAGAAAAUUAAAAUCAAG
rnacentral:lncRNA from 1 species